rnacentral:rRNA from 1 species
UACGUAGGCAGCAAGCGUUGUUCGGAAUUACUGGGCGUAAAGAGUGUGUAGGCGGUGUUCUAAGUCUGUUGUGAAAUCUCCCGGCUUAACUGGGAGGGUGCGGCGGAAACUGGAAUGCUAGAGGAUGGGAGAGGUAAGCGGAAUUCCUGGUGUAGCGGUGAAAUGCGUAGAUAUCUGGAGGAACACCGGUGGCGAAGGCGGCAUCCUGGACCAACACUGACGCUGAGGAGCGAAAGCCAGGGGAGCAAACGGG